ACAUCUCAUCUAAAAACUUCAUGUAUAAUGAAACAAUUAGAAUUGAAUUAAACUUGGAUCCACCAUUUUAAAAUCAAUUACACUUUGGUUUGUCCUACUACAUAAGAAUGACCCAAAUGUGGGUUUAUUUACAAGCAUUGCAUUAUACAUGGCAUUAAUACAUUAUACCAUAUACUAAUCACAUUGACUUGAUACUUUGGGUUGAUUUCAAAAGUAAAAAAAAGCCUUGGUCAUCCUUAUGAUCUAAUGUUGCAUCCACAUUCAACUCGGACAAUGCUCCAACCUGCAGUAAAUUGAACAAGACAUCAUCCAUAUGGUAGUAUUCAAGCAUGACAUUCAAUUUCCAUAAGUAAUUCCCUAACUUUUCACAGUUUGAAUCAAGUGUUUGUGUAACAGGAAAUGGUUCAUCACAUACCACAAAACCAAUCAGCAUUAACCUAACAUUUGUAAAUAAUUAAGCUUUUGAAACACAAAAUAAUAGGACCAGUUUAAUCAGUAUUUAAUAGAAAUAGUGGUAGGCCAUUGAAUCAAUUUCAAACAUUGAGCAUCAAUAGGAUUUAACAGCUUAACAUUUUCUAAAGCAGAACAAUGUCGGCUCAAUGUCAAUAGUAAAUUUGAAUCCAAACUAACUUUUUUUCUAACAGAACGUAGCUUAACAUCACAGGCACGUUAAGAAUUUAACAACUCAUUUUCAUUUUUAACACUAACACAUUAAAAAUGUUCUGCAACUUUGAAGUAUGACUGAGGUUAAACAAAAUUGGAUAAAAAUGCAAAUAAUAUGACUAAUCAUCAAGUCCAAUAAUCUCAAAACCAAAUUAACUUCAAAAUUCAAUUCAAAUCAACUUCAAAGUCGAUUAACAGAAUCAUCACGGUUAAUUAACUAACUCAACAAAUUCCAUAACUAACUUCAUAACUUCGGUUGCAUUUGAUAUGAAUUUCAUUUGAGUUUGUAACAAAAUUUGAGAGUCUAUAGAUGCCCUCAUUACAAUUCAGUUACUCUGAACUGUUUUCACAGAACUCACAUUAUCAUCAUCAUUCUCAGAAUCCUCUCAAUAUCAAUCUCAGAAUCGAGAGAGAGAGAGAGAGAGAGAGAGAACUCAUCCUCGCAAUAGCUCUAUUACCAGGCCAUUGAAGCUUCAUAUAAAAACUUCAAAUCGGUUGAGCUUGAACCUUAAUCACCUAAUCUCUAUCACUCUCUCGCGCACCUCUCAACUGAAGAACAAAUUCACGUAAGAACACAACCAUACAAAGAGAAGUUUUCCUACAUACUAAAGGCAAUGAGUAGAAGAAGAAUUGCAAGAAAUUUGAAGUUGAAGAAUCAGAAUCACCUAGUGUUUUGCCUCUGGUAUUUUCUUGUUAUUAUCUUCAUCGGAGAAUUCGCGUCCAGGUUCAUAGAUCUCAGUUUCUUCUUUGCAUUUCCUUGUUGGCACGACGUAGUCCAUAGCCUUUGGAAUUGAAGCCUUAAUUGCUUCGGCUCCAAUCUCCUCUCUCUUGCUUGUAUUUUCUAAAAUCUAACUUAGGGUUCAUCUUUUGAUCCCUUCGAUUUACACGAUUGAGGGGAAACUUGAAAGGGAUGAGCUUGGGGCUUAGAAAGAGGAAGAAUAGACAGUUAAUUUGAGAUAUGGUAUGCUGUGUUUGAGCCUCCUCCGCUGUCGAAAGCAAUUUCCGGCGUGACGGAGGCGACGACAGGAAAUCUCUACGGGGAGGACUUGUAACACCCAUUUUUUAUUAGAUAUUUUUAGUAUAUUUUAAUUGUUUGAAUUAUGCAUUUUGAUGAUUUAUUUUAUCUGGGUGUUAACGGGGUAUGUGUUCUUGAGUUAGGGGUAUAGAUAAA
rnacentral:lncRNA from 1 species